CCUGCGGAAGGAUCAUUAAUGAAUUCACUAUGGAGUUGUUGCUGGCCUCUAGGGGCAUGUGCACGCUUCACUAGUCUUUCAACCACCUGUGAACUUUUGAUAGAUCUGUGAAGUCGUCCUUCAAGUCGUCAGACUUGGUUUGCUGGGAUUUAAACGUCUCGGUGUGACAACGCAGUCUAUUUACUUAACACACCCCAAAUGUAUGUCUACGAAUGUCAUUUAAUGGGCCUUGUGCCUAUAAACCAUAAUACAACUUUCAACAACGGAUCUCUUGGCUCUCGCAUCGAUGAAGAACGCAGCGAAAUGCGAUAAGUAAUGUGAAUUGCAGAAUUCAGUGAAUCAUCGAAUCUUUGAACGCACCUUGCGCCCCUUGGUAUUCCGAGGGGCAUGCCUGUUUGAGUGUCAUUAAAUUCUCAAACUCACAUUUAUUUGUGAUGUUUGGAUUGUUGGGGGUUGCUGGCUGUAACAAGUCGGCUCCUCUUAAAUGCAUUAGCAGGACUUCUCAUUGCCUCUGCGCAUGAUGUGAUAAUUAUCACUCAUCAAUAGCACGCAUGAAUAGAGUCCAGCUCUCUAAUCGUCCGCAAGGACAAUUUUGACAAUUUGACCUCAAAUCAGGUAGGACUACCCGCUGAACUUAAGCAUAUCAAUAAGCGGAGGAAAAGAAACUAACAAGGAUUCCCCUAGUAACUGCGAGUGAAGCGGGAAAAGCUCAAAUUUAAAAUCUGGUGGUCUUUGGCCAUCCGAGUUGUAAUCUAGAGAAGUGUUAUCCGCGCUGGACCGUGUACAAGUCCCCUGGAAUGGGGCGUCAUAGAGGGUGAGAAUCUCGUCUUUGACACCGACUACCAGGGCUUUGUGAUGCACUCUCAAAGAGUCGAGUUGUUUGGGAAUGCAGCUCAAAAUGGGUGGGAAAUUCCAUCUAAAGCUAAAUAUUGGCGAGAGACCGAUAGCGAACAAGCGCAGUGAGGGAAAGAUGAAAAGAACUUUGGAAAGAGAGUUAAACAGUACGUGAAAUUGUUGAAA
rnacentral:rRNA from 1 species